CCAGUCGAUGAUGAUGACCUAAUUGUUCACAUCAUCACUCAUCUGGGUGAUGAUUACAAACAGGUUGUAGCAGCUGUGAAAAUGAGAGAUACUUCCAUUAGUUCUCUGACUUGUUUGAGAAGCUUGUUGACC
rnacentral:snoRNA from 1 species